UCGGCAGCCCUGGAAUCUGAAAUCCUUUAUUUAUCCGUCUAACAAGAAUAGCGCAGACAGCAGCAGUUGGUCCUCCCCAACACUGUCUCCCACAGGCCUAACCUAGCCCUGACCUCUUCGGAUGGGCAGGAGUAUGGCUGUGGCCAUGACGAGACUUCAGUUGG
rnacentral:sRNA from 1 species